AGUGAGGAAAUUCAUCGCUCUAGGGUGUGACAUUUCGUCGCCCUAGAGUGGGGAGAUCCAUCAUUCU